rnacentral:lncRNA from 1 species
AUUAAGUCAACACAAAGGUGGCUUCCUGUCGAAAUUUUCCUUGAAGUCAUCUGACUAUCUUCCAUCCCAUCGUGUUCCUUAUAAAAAAUGCAGUUGGCUCAACAGUAUUUUAUAUGUAAAUGAGAUGAAAAAUAAUUUUUAUUUCUCAUAAAGAACUGCAACACAGAAGUUUCAAUUUUUCAACUGAUCAGUCCUACUUUUUUUUUCUACCAGACUUUAUUGUUGCAGUGACUCAAACAAUAACAUCUCACUGUGAGGAAAUGUAGAUGAUGCAUAAAUAAAUUCUACCCUUUUAAGGUAAAAUCAUAUUACAGGUUGUUUUCUCUGCUUUAUCUAUCUCCAAAUAAAACACUUAGUAUAGUAAAGCUGAAUUUAGGGCAGAAGGAUAAGGGAGUUCUCAAAGGUAUGUUAAAAGAACAUAUUAAAACUUGCUAUUUGGAAAAUAUUCAAAUAUUUGGCAUAAGCAUACUUAAUAUCUAGACAACUAGAGAAAGCAGUGACAAGGGCUGUUGGAGAAUGAACACUGGAGAGCACACGGGCAUGAUGAAGAACAAGGUGUGAAAAGUUGAGUUAUCACAAGUGUGAAUCAUUUGUACUGAUUUCAAAUCCUCAACACCUUAAGAAAAGCAGGUACCCUUUCCAGAAAAUAGUCAUUUCUGUUUGCAUACGCAAUUUAAGAAUAACAGCAAAACUAAUGAAGAAAGUAUCUCAGAAGAACUAAAGAACUAUAGCUGAUACAUUCAUGGAAUAUGAAUCACUGCAAAUGCACUGAUUAAACAGAGGAGGAACACAGGUGCUACCAAAAUUGGAGGCAUAUUUGAUACAGCUAUCAGUAUUGUAGAGCGGGGCACAGCAUUUUAAUGCAGAUAGGAGAUAGAAGGGAUACUGUAUUAGCUGUGAGAACCAAAGUGCUUCUACAGUCUGAAAACGCAUCCCACUACAGAGCUCCAAUUGCACGGCUUAUUCCAUCUUUCUCACAGCACAUUUGGAAAGGAAAAUUGCCAUUCCAUCAUUUUUCACCUGAAGCCUGCUAUCUGACCCAAGAGACUGGUAUCAAUCUGUGUCAUCUGCAGAUGAAAACUGUCCAGACUUAG